CAGUCGCCGCGGUAAUACGGAGGGUGCAAGCGUUAUCCGGAUUUAUUGGGUUUAAAGGGUCCGUAGGCGGACUUAUAAGUCAGUGGUGAAAGCCUGUCGCUUAACGAUAGAACUGCCAUUGAUACUGUAAGUCUUGAGUAUAUUUGAGGUAGCUGGAAUAAGUAGUGUAGCGGUGAAAUGCAUAGAUAUUACUUAGAACACCAAUUGCGAAGGCAGGUUACCAAGAUAUAACUGACGCUGAGGGACGAAAGCGUGGGUAGCGAACAGGAUUAGAUACCCCAGUAGUCCCUGUCUCUUAUAC
rnacentral:rRNA from 1 species